rnacentral:rRNA from 1 species
AAAAGUUGUAACAAGGUUUCCGUAGGUGAACCUGCGGAAGGAUCAUUA